GCAGGGAUAUAGCUCAGUAGGCAGAGCACUUGCCUCUCAAGCACAAGGCCCUGGGUUCAAUCCCCAGCCCUGCA